GACAGAUUCACCGCUGAGGAACCAGUAGAACAUGAAGUCUGCCCUGGGCUCACAAAAAAAAUGACUCAGGGGGCUGACUGGCCUGGCCCUGAUGGAGGGGGCCAUGGACAGAACAAUGGGGAGGCAGGGGUGUCUCUGAGAGGCUCUGGUCACCUUGUCAUACAAUGGUGGUGUACAAUGAUCAAAAUGGACACUAGGGGGCUGCUGGGUACCAUUCCUUAGAAGACUGGGUGUGAUGAGAGCAGGACCAGCGCCACCUGUCCUGCUUGGUGCCCUAUGCUUAGGGCUCACAGAUGUCAACUCUCCACCCCCUGGGACCACAUAGCCCCACCCCUGCCACUCCCUGACAUCCUCAGGCAGAGGAGCCUGACCCAGGGCCCAGGGUGGGAUCAGAAAGCUGGAGGGUCUGAUUUGCAUGGAUGGACCCUCCUCCUCUCAGAGUAUAAAGAGGGGCAGGGAGAGACUUGGGGAAGCUCUGCUUCAGCUGUGAGCACAGAAGGCAGGACUCAGGACAAUCUUCAUCAUGACCUGCUCCCCUCUCCUCCUCGCCCUUCUCAUUCACUGCACAGGGUCCUGGGCCCAGUCUGUGUUGAUGCAGCCGCCCUCAGUGUCUGCGGCCCCAGGACAGAAGGUCACCAUCUCGUGCUCUGGAAGCAGCUCCAACAUCAGGCAUUAUGCAGUAUCCUGGUACCAACAGCUCCCAGGAACAGCCCCCAAACUCCUCAUCUAUGAAAAUAAUAAGCGACCCUCAGGGAUUUCUGACCGAUUCUCUGGCUCCAAGUCUGGCACCUCAGCCACCCUGGGCAUCACUGGACUCCGGCCUGAGGAUGAGGCCGAUUAUUACUGCUUAGCAUGGCAUACCAGCCUGAGUGCUCGCACAGUGCUCCAGGCCAAUAAGGAACUGAGACAAGAACCCCCUUCUUCCUCCGCCAGGAGGUUUCGGGAAGAAUAGGAUAAAAAAAAGUCUGAAGAGGUUCCUUUCCUCAGAUAAGAAUUCGUUGGGGACUAUUGGCCACUCAGGCAUUGAAGUGAGGCUAAGCCUCCCUCUCAAGCCAAUAGAAUUGGGGGCUUUCAAGGGACUUUGAUUGUACUGAAGCUCCCAGACUCUGACAUCUAAGACUUAUGCCCUUGUAGCAGAGCCCAGCACUGAUACCAAAAUGGAUGAAGGCUGAUAGAUAAGCCUAGAAUAUUCUAGCUGACACCAUCUUGUGGAAAAGAGAAUCAAGUUAAAAUAUUGAUGUGAUAAGGUGGUGUCCCACGGUGAGGACAGGCGAGCUUGAGUGGGGGAGGGUAGAGCAGCCAUUAGAGGGUUGGACAAGGAGAAUACAGAAUCUCAGGUAAGUUUGUGAGGAAAACUCCAGAUGCUUCAGAGAAGAUGGACAAGGAGGUACGCAGUGUGAAGGCCAUGGGACCAGUUCUAGUCACUGCGAGAGAGUGGUCAGCUUCAGCACCAGUGUCUGGGGAGGAGGGACUGAAGCCUGGGUGAGGGGAGAGGCUCAAGGCCGGCCUUAGGACCUGAGUGGGGCACAGUGAUCACACUGCUGAGGGGUCCUUCAAGUGCAAGGGGGCUGCAGGGAGGCUUGAGCUCAUUGUCACAAUGAAAACUUAGACAACAGCUCCCCAGCCUUGUUCAAAGGUGUCACAGGACUUUUUCCUGUCCACAUGGCAAUGGGGAGAGGAAAACUUAUCUCUGAGAUAUAUAAGAUGUUACUUCUCCAUAACUUCUCCUGUCCCCUGGCUGAAUUCCUAUUUGGAAACAAAAUGGCUCCCCAGUUUUACAUAAGACAUCCUCACUAAAAAAUGUUCCAGAAUGAGAAAGAUGUGCCCUCCCUCACCCACUGGUGAGGAAUCUCAGCCUUCAGGAAAACCAAACUAAGUCAUUAAUGCCAUCUCCCAUGACAGCAUCAUGGGGAAUAGGGAGCCUAUCUUAUGGGUUUGGGCCACACACUGCCUGUCCCUAACAUUGCAGCUGGGAACACUUACAUGCUGAACUCAGGGCUGGAAGAUCUGGGGUCCAGACAUGACAGGAAAAAGACCAGGAGCUCUGCUUAAGUAGCCACACUGUGUGAAUCACUCUAUCCUCCACCCUCAUCUUCAGUUUGUGAUGGGUGUUGUCUUGUGAAAACUGAGAGCUGGGCUGUGACACAAGCAAGAGAGUCUUGAUUCACAAACCUCCAUCAUGGGCUCUCUGGCAUUUCUGAUAUUCUUUUCACACAUCAAUUCUGGGCCAAGACACAUCCAUACUCAUCAAGGAAGCGUUGAUAGGAGAAUCAGGCAGCCUCAGGAGAGACAAGAAGCAGAUAAACACCCUCAUGUUGGCCUCCUAAGCUCAGAGGAGGAAAAAAAAGGCAAAGAAGUUCAAGAAGCCACACUAGAAGCCACUGAUCACCAUCGCCUUGGCACCUGUCCUCCAACUGCCCCUCUUUCAACUGAGGACCAGACUCAGGGGACAGCAUCUGCACCUCCCCUUCUGCCCACACACUGCAUAGGGAGCCUCCUUCUGCUCUCAUCUCAAGGCGACUGCUCCAUCACGUCAGCCGUGUCACUGCUGAGAGUCUUCCCUCAGUCCUGGUCACAGGGUCUGGGAUCAGCAGCAACCUGGCUUUGGUUCAGCUGUGACCCUGCCCCUUCAGAACACAAAGCCGAUGAUUAAAGCCUAACUGAACUC